rnacentral:rRNA from 1 species
CAGGAAGGUUUACCGGAAUGUAUUCUAGUGGCGGACGGGKGAGUAACUUGUGAGGAUCUGUCCUUAUCUGGGGGACAACAGUUGRAAACGCCUGCUAAUACCCCAUAGUCCGCAAGGUGAAAGGCGUAAGCCGGAGAGGGAGGAACUCGCGUCCUAUCAUCUAGUAGGCGAGGUAAGAGCUCACCUAGGAGAUGACGGGUAGCCGCCCUGAGAGGGCGCCCGGCCACACUGGAACUGAGAUACGGUCCRGGCUCCUUCGGGAGSCAGCAGUGGGGAAUAUUGGGCAAYGGGGGCAAUCCCUGACCCAACGCCUGUCCGCGUGAGGGAUGAAAUCUCUUGGGAUGUAAACCUCUGUUGUACGGGAAGAWAACAAUGACGGUACCGUACGAGGAAGCCCCGGCAAACUACGUGCCAGCAGCCGCGGUAAU